UGCGUAGGCAGCAAGCGUUGUUCGGAAUUACUGGGCGUAAAGAGUGUGUAGGCGGUGCUCUAAGUUCGGUGUGAAAUCUCCCGGCUCAACUGGGAGGUGCGCCGGAAACUGGAGUGCUGGAGCGCGGGAGAGGAAAGCGGAAUUCCUGGUGUAGCGGUGAAAUGCGUAGAUAUCAGGAGGAACACCGGCGGUGUAGACGGCUUCUGGACCGUAGCUGACGACUGGAGAACACGAAAGCGUGGGUAGCAAACAGG
rnacentral:rRNA from 1 species